rnacentral:misc_RNA from 1 species
UCCUUCUUAUCGAAGGCAGUUUUCGAAGAGUGCAUCCCUUGCGGGAUUAGCAACAUCGAAUGGGGGUUGCGCUCGUUGCGGGACUUAACCCAACAUCUCACGACACGAGCUGACGACAACCAUGCAGCACCUCUGCGGACUCCCUUGCGGGUCGGCCACUGUUUCCAACAGCCUACCAUCCGUAGUUCAAGCCCAGGUAAGGUUCUUCGCGUUGCGUCGAAUUAAACCACAUGCUCCACCGCUUGUGCGGGCCCCCGUCAAUUCCUUUGAGUUUCAACCUUGCGGUCGUACUCCCCAGGCGGGGUACUUCCUGCGUUAGCGCCGGCACCCAGAGGGUCGCUCCCCCAGGCACCUAGUACCCAUCGUUUACGGCGUGGACUAC